UUUAAAUAGAUGUUAUUAGAAAUAAAUAUUACAAUGCUAUUUUCUCAUAUUUUUCCAUUGGUGAUUCCUCUUAUAUGCUUAAAAUGGCAAAUAUUGUUUUCUAAAAUGCAAAACAUAUUUACUUACAUUUAAUGUGAAACAUACUGGUAAUUUGAGGCUGUUGUACCUCUGAAUAGAGACUCCUAAAUUUAUUAAUUUUGGAUUAAUUAAAAUUUCUUUGUUUUAUAAGGAGAGAAGACACUAAACUUUUAUAGUUUAAUUGAAAAUGAAAUGUGCUUUGACCUUGGAGAAAAUGAAUGUAAAGAAUAACGAUAAUAGCAAAUAGUGAAAUGGAAAAUAAUAAUAAUAAAAGAGAACAAGGGAGUCAUACUUGAUGGAUAUAUUCAAUUUGUUUCAUGUGUAUGCGUUAUAUUUUUGUAUAUACUGUUUUUUAGGCAGUUGGAUUGUUGGAAGCUGUUUCUUUAUCCAUAAUUUUGAGGAUACCUUUAACUUUAGAAAUAAAAUAGGUUUUUGAAGGACAAAACUACUAGUAAUUAGAAGGAUUCCACAGCCUUAAUGAAAACAAAAAUAACAAAUAUUUAUACAGAAAUACAAACUUUCUAUUAAUGAUGUAAAGUAUAAUGAAAUUUCAGAUUGCUGUUUUUAUCAGAGAUGUGGUAUUCUGAAUCAACAAAUCAUUGGCUUUCGCUUUUAGAAUUCCCUCAUCUCUGCUGAAAAGCAUGAAACCACAUGGUAAAUAUCAAUAACAUCUUCAAAUUUCAACAAAUGUCAGGUCAGAAUGAAGUCCAGCCCAUCAUUAACCUGACAACAAAAAAAAAAAAAAAAAGAAAAGAAAAGAAAAGCCUCUCUUUUGAAGAAACUGAAACCUACUCUCUGUCAACUUCUGUGGCAAGAAUUACAUCGUUUAGAUUCCAAAUUUGUUUCACACAAGUAUACAGGUGUAUUGACUGAUGGAAAAUCCUCUGUGCCAAUAGGUUUUAAGAUGAAAUAUUAAUGAAAGUCCUCAUGACAAUUCCCACAUAGAGGCAGCAACACUUUGAAAUUACAGGCUUCAUAAAGAAACAUAUUAUGCAAACUAUCUAAGGAAAGCAGAAGCCCUCAUCCAGUGGUUGAUGGAAACAGAGACAGACAUCCACAGAUAUACACUGAGCUGAAAUCGGGAAUUUAGUGGAGAGAGGGAGGAAUGAAGAGUGAAGGGGUCUGUACCAGGUUGGAGAAACCCACAGGAUCAGUUGGCCUGAACAAGGGAGAGCACAUCGACCCCAGAUGCUUUCACCCGUCCAAGACUGAUCCAGAUCCCUGAACAUGGAUGUCAAUAAGGAGGCCUCUGCACACGAGGGAGCCUCUGGUGGUGGAUUAGUAUUUUUCCCUGGUGCAAGAAGGGACUUUGAGAACCCAUCCCACGUGAAGGGUUACACUCUGGCCCUGUACACAUGGGGAAGGGCCCAGGACCAGCACAGGAAGAUUUGGUGGACUUUGCAGAGCCCCCGUUGAGGGCCCUACCCUUCCUGAGG
rnacentral:lncRNA from 1 species